CCUGAAAAUGGUUUGUCUCUUUUUGAAACUCUCCUUGUGGGGGUCAGUUGUGUCCCUUUACAGAAAACUAGCAUCCUCUGGAUCUGCAAACCAAGAUUUCUGUAUUUCUCAUCUAUUUGGCUUGAGUGCCGCAGGAUCUUGAAGGGAGCAGCUGCAUCGCAAGAUGCCCUGAAGGAAUUCUGGAAGUCCCCGACCCUUCGGGAGUUCGGUAUAGUUGGUAUGAAGAGAAUGGGAAAAGGAUUGAAGAUUUCUGCAAGAAUUGGGUGAAAACCAUCAAUUCCCCCCCCCCACUUUGAAAAGGUGUGUAUGGAUGCUUUUUUCCUAGUUAAUAGGAGACACAAGACUGUAUCUAAAGAAGAGGCUGUUGAAGGUCAUUUUCAUCGCCUUCUCAGGCUCACAAUCUAAGAAGGCACACUGGGGGAGAGGGAGAGAAGAGAGGCGUGAUGGGUACCAGCAUUUAAGCGGUCAAAGGGUUUUAUAAAUGCUUGAAUGAUGACUGUUCCUCUCACUGCUGCAAGCCUCCAACAGUGGGAUUUUAUGUCAUCAAAUACUAACAUGACUUUUCUUCACUCAAAAGUGUCUUUAGAUGGGUUGGCCAUCUGUGACACGGUUGAACUUUUGCGGGGUCGCACAUUCUAAAGAGCAACAAAUGUGACUUUGGAAGCUUUGAAGAUCCUGGCUGUUCUCAUUUUUUGUGGUCUCCUAUUGCAUUGUAGUCUCCUGUGAUACAGAUUUUUCUUUGUUCUAAUUCAAUAAUUUUCU